rnacentral:rRNA from 1 species
UUCCUACGGGACGCAGCAGUGAGGAAUAUUGGUCAAUGGGCGGGAGCCUGAACCAGCCAAGCCGCGUGAGGGAAGAAGGUACAGCGUAUCGUAAACCUCUUUUGUCAGGGAACAAAGGCGGGGACUAGUCCCCGGAUGAGGGUACCUGAAGAAAAAGCAUCGGCUAACUCCGUGCCAGCAGCCGCGGUAAUACGGAGGAUGCGAGCGUUAUCCGGAUUUAUUGGGUUUAAAGGGUGCGCAGGCGGCCUGUUAAGUCGGCGGUAAAAUGCCGGGGCUCAACCCCGGCCGGCCCUUGAAACUGGCGG